AACGAACGCUGGCGGCAUGCCUAACACAUGCAAGUCGAACGAGACCUUCGGGUCUAGUGGCGCACGGGUGCGUAACGCGUGGGAACCUGCCCUUAGGUUCGGAAUAACUCCCCGAAAGGGGUGCUAAUACCGGAUAAUGUCUUCGGACCAAAGAUUUAUCGCCUUUGGAUGGGCCCGCGUUGGAUUAGCUAGUUGGUAGGGUAAAAGCCUACCAAGGCGACGAUCCAUAGCUGGUCUGAGAGGAUGAUCAGCCCCACUGGGACUGGGACACGGCCCAGACUCCUACGGGAGGCAGCAGUGGGGAAUAUUGGACAAUGGGCGAAAGCCUGAUCCAGCAAUGCCGCGUGAGUGAUGAAGGCCUUAGGGUUGUAAAGCUCUUUUACCCGGGAUGAUAAUGACAGUACCGGGAGAAUAAGCUCCGGCUAACUCCGUG
rnacentral:rRNA from 1 species